GACGAACGCUGGCGGCGUGCCUAAUACAUGCAAGUUGAGCGCUGAAGGUUGGUACUUGUCCCGACUGGCUGAGCAGCGAACGGGUGAGUAACGCGUGGGGAAUCUGCCUUUGAGCGGGGGACAACAUUUGGAAACGAAUGCUAAUACCGCAUAAAAACUUUAAACACAAGUUUUAAGUUUGAAAGAUGCAAUUGCAUCACUCAAAGAUGAUCCCGCGUUGUAUUAGCUAGUUGGUGAGGUAAAGGCUCACCAAGGCGAUGAUACAUAGCCGACCUGAGAGGGUGAUCGGCCACAUUGGGACUGAGACACGGCCCAAACUCCUACGGGAGGCAGCAGUAGGGAAUCUUCGGCAAUGGACGAAAGUCUGACCGAGCAACGCCGCGUGAGUGAAGAAGGUUUUCGGAUCGUAAAACUCUGUUGGUAGAGAAGAACGUUGGUGAGAGUGGAAAGCUCAUCAAGUGACGGUAACUACCCAGAAAGGGACGGCUAACUACGUG
rnacentral:rRNA from 1 species